UAUCACACAUGAUCGAGAGCUGCC
rnacentral:siRNA from 1 species